CACACACAAACUGUGCUUCAAGAACAAAAAUGAAGAGCCAAUUUUGCCACCUUGUUUUCAUUUUCCUUGUCGUCUCUCUAUGUUCCUUACCUGCAUUUGGUAUACGCCGCGGAAGCUUUCAAUCAGUGAACCAUAGGGACCUGGCUCCCAGUCCAAGUUUGUCUGAGCUCCCUUCUCUGGCACAAAGCCGUGCGUUUGAAUCAUUGAUCUCGGUGGACUAUGCCGGUGUAGAAGGACACGCACCCCAGAUCCACGCACCUAAGUUGGUAGAGGCGCCUCCGUCUGACUAAAGCCUUCGAGUAUGGCACACCUUGUACACGACGAGGAAGUGCCCUAAUAAAUACCCCCCAUUUCUAUUGUAUUCUUACUGCCUUUGGCACAAGUGUCUUGAUUAGCGAUUUCAGCGGGCCAUUUUAUAUGAUAUAUCAAUAGCACAAUGCAUAAUAUAUAAGUGAA